rnacentral:lncRNA from 1 species
UAUCGGGGUUAGAGCUUCAAUCUCCAGUGUGAUGGUACUGCAGUUAGAGCUUCAAUCUCCAGUGUGAUGGUAUUAGGGUUAGAUCUUCAAUCUCCAGUGUGAUGGUAUCAGGGUUAGAGCUUCAGCCUCCAGUGUGAUGGUAUCAGGGUUAGAGCUUCAGCCUCCAGUGUGAUGGUAUCGGGGUUAGAUCUUCAAUCCCCA